CUUGGAGGUUGUGCCCUUGAGGCGUGGCUUCCGGAGCUAACGCGUUAAGUCGACCGCCUGGGGAGUACGGCCGCAAGGUUAAAACUCAAAUGAAUUGACGGGGGCCCGCACAAGCGGUGGAGCAUGUGGUUUAAUUCGAUGCAACGCGAAGAACCUUACCUGGCCUUGACAUCCACGGAAUUCGGCAGAGAUGCCUUAGUGCCUUCGGGAACCGUGAGACAGGUGCUGCAUGGCUGUCGUCAGCUCGUGUUGUGAAAUGUUGGGUUAAGUCCCGCAACGAGCGCAACCCUUAUCCUUUGUUGCCAGCGAGUAAUGUCGGGAACUCAAAGGAGACUGCCGGUGACAAACCGGAGGAAGGUGGGGAUGACGUCAAGUCAUCAUGGCCCUUACGGCCAGGGCUACACACGUGCUACAAUGGCGCAUACAAAGAGAAGCGAACUCGCGAGAGCAAGCGGACCUCACAAAGUGCGUCGUAGUCCGGAUCGGAGUCUGCAACUCGACUCCGUGAAGUCGGAAUCGCUAGUAAUCGUAGAUCAGAAUGCUACGGUGAAUACGUUCCCGGGCCUUGCACUCACCGCCCGUCA
rnacentral:rRNA from 1 species